rnacentral:rRNA from 1 species
UACAGAGGGUGCAAGCGUUAAUCGGAAUUCCUGGGCGUAAAGCGUGCGUAGACGGUUAUUUAAGUCAGGUGUGAAAGCCCCGGGCUCAACCUGGGAAUGGCCGUUGAAACUGGCGAACUGGAGUGUGGCAGAGGGGGGUGGAAUUCCGCGUGUAGCAGUGAAAUGCGUAGAGAUGCGGAGGAACACCGAUGGCGAAGGCAGCCCCCUGGGCUGACACUGACGCUCAGGCACGAAAGCGUGGGGAGCAAACAGG